rnacentral:lncRNA from 1 species
CUGCAGUGUACUGGUCACUUUGUGAGCCAUUCUAUCUCAUCCUCCCCCAAACCCCUUCCUCCCUUUUCAGAAAGGUUUAGUAACUUACCACAGCCACACAGCUAGUAAGUGCUGGCAGAAUUGGCUCCUAGGUCUAGCUGACCUUGAGACCUAUGUAGUUUCUAUUUUACCACACUGCCAGAAAUAAAAAGUAUUACUAUUAUUGGUUUGAUUGGGGAUGGGGGGAUCUGAUUGCUGUCUUGGCAAGAAAGAAUUUUAUGAGCAGCACUUUGCUUCUGAGGUGGUUCCCUGACUUGGGGUGAGACCCAGGCCUUCUAAUGAGCCCUUGAAAAUACCUCUUGCUUAGGACUGGAAGCCCUAUCAAAAUCCUUGGAUUCCCACAGUUCUCUGCUGCUGUUUAAGGUUAACCUUGGAAGCUUUAACAGAAUGAUAACGAUAAAGCUAAUUGUAACUCCUUAAUCUUUAUUAAAAGUCUCACAAAUCA